CAGAUUGAACGCUGGCGGCAGGCCUAACACAUGCAAGUCGAGCGGUAACAGGGGAAGCUUGCUUCCCGCUGACGAGCGGCGGACGGGUGAGGAAUGUAUGGGGAUCUGCCCGAUAGAGGGGGAUAACCACUGGAAACGGUGGCUAAUACCGCAUAAUCUCUUAGGAGCAAAGCAGGGGAACUUCGGUCCUUGCGCUAUCGGAUGAACCCAUAUGGGAUUAGCUAGUAGGUGGGGUAAUGGCUCACCUAGGCGACGAUCCCUAGCUGGUCUGAGAGGAUGAUCAGCCACACUGGGACUGAGACACGGCCCAGACUCCUACGGGAGGCAGCAGUGGGGAAUAUUGCACAAUGGGCGCAAGCCUGAUGCAGCCAUGCCGCGUGUAUGAAGAAGGCCCUAGGGUUGUAAAGUACUUUCAGUCGGGAGGAAGGCGUUGAUGCUAAUAUCAUCAACGAUUGACGUUACCGACAGAAGAAGCACCGGCUAACUCCGUGCCAGCAGCCGCGGUAA
rnacentral:rRNA from 1 species